AUCUUUUUUUUUUUUUUUUUUUUGGUAAUAUCAGCUAAUUAGACUUUGACAACCAAUUAGCAGAUUUUUAGCUUUGCUGAGAAUCAAGUUAGCGCUGAGAAAGUAGGAGGCAAGUAAACCAAACAUGCAAAAUGCUCCUCUUGUACCGCAAACAGGCUGUCCUUAAAAAAAAAACAACACACCACACAACGCAACAAAACCCAUCCGCAAGGGCCAGAUCCUGCUCGGGAUUUAUAGCCCUUUCAGCUGGCUGCCACGCCACUUACUCGCAGGUGUAAAUCGAGUGUAGGACUUGGCCGGCAGAAUGGAGCUCGCCAUAACUCAUGCAGAGCUGCCGCGGAGGAGCCCUCGCCAGCCUCCUCGCAAGAGGACGCGAGGCGCUCCUUGGAACAGACGCCGUUUGUGUGCACCCGCGUGUGUUUUCCCCCCCAGCUAAAAGGAAAAAAAAAAAAA